GAUGAACGCUAGCUACAGGCUUAACACAUGCAAGUCGAGGGGAAACGACACCGAAAGCUUGCUUUUGAUGGGCGUCGACCGGCGCACGGGGGAGUAACGCGUAUCCAACCUGCCCACCACUUGGGGAUAACCUUGCGAAAGUAAGACUAAUACCCAAUGAUAUCUCUAGAAGACAUCUGAAGGAGAUUAAAGAUUUAUCGGUGAUGGAUGGGGAUGCGUCUGAUUAGCUUGUUGGCGGGGUAACGGCCCACCAAGGCGACGAUCAGUAGGGGUUCUGCGAGGAAGGUCCCCCACAUUGGAAGUGAGACACGGCCCAAACUCCUACGGGUGGCAGCAGUGAGGAAUAUUAGUCAAUGGGCGAGAGCCUGAACCAGCCAAGUAGCGUGCAGGAUGACGGCCCUAUGGGUUGUAGACUGCUUUUAUAAGGGAAUAAAGUGAGUCUCGUGAGACUUUUUGCAUGUACCUUAUGAAUAAGGACCGGCUAAUUCCGUGCCAGCCGCCGCGGUAA
rnacentral:rRNA from 1 species